AUCCUGAUGAAGAGUCCCAAAUAGGACGAAAUACACAUCCUGGAU
rnacentral:hammerhead_ribozyme from 1 species